rnacentral:tRNA from 1 species
GGGCGGGUAGCUCAGCGGCAGAGCAGAGGUUUUACACACCUCGGGUCGCAGGUUCGAUCCCUGUCCCGCCCA